rnacentral:rRNA from 1 species
UGGGGAAUUUUGCACAAUGGGGGAAACCCUGAUGCAGCGACGCCGCGUGAUUUAGAAGGCCUUCGGGUUGUAAAAAUCUUUUCUAUGGGAAGAAAAUGACAGUACCAUAGGAAUAAGGACCGGCUAAUUACGUGCCAGCAGCCGCGGUAAUACGUAAGGUCCGAGCGUUGUCCGGAAUCAUUGGGCGUAAAGGGUACGUAGGCGGGUAAGCAAGUUAGAAGUGAAAUCCUAUAGCUCAACUAUAGUAAGCUUUUAAACCUGCUCAUCUUGAGGUAUGGAAGGGAAAGUGGAAUUCCUAGUGUAGCGGUGAAAUGCGCAGAUAUUAGGAGGAAUACCGGUGGCGAAGGCGACUUUCUGGCCAUAACCUGACGCUGAGGUACGAAAGCGUGGGUAGCAAACAGG